UUUCUUCUAUUUUUUUUUUAUUUUGAUUUUUUUGAUUGAUUUUUUGAUUUUGUUUUUCACCCCUUUUGUUAACAUUUGUAAAACCCCAAUUUGACUGUUUCCAGGUUCUCAAGAUGCGGCUGAAUGAUCUUCUUUUCAUGCUCAAGAAGACGGGUAAUCUCAUCGAGAAUCUCUUCAACAUCAUCUUCCUUUGCCUCGAAUACAG
rnacentral:lncRNA from 1 species